GGCCUAGUAGCGAAAUUGUUUAUCGCAUCCACUCCCAAUCGAAAAGCUCCUCUAUGAUUAUGUGGAAGUUCCUCGUUCAACUCGAGGUUAGGUCA